rnacentral:lncRNA from 1 species
GUUUGCCGAGCGACUUGGCAUGACAUUUUGACAGUGAUCAAUAGCAAAGAAAAAAAAAUAACACACACACACAAGCUCUCUCGCUCUGCUUGUGGUGGAGGCUUGAACCAAAAGUAGCCGGGCACGGCUCCGGAGCAGCUAUAAAAAUAGGCUGCUUCCCCCACCCCAUCCUGUUACGCUGGGAGAUGGAUCCCGGAGUCUCCUCUCCGCCGCUACGAGGAAGACCAGGCGUGUAAUGCGCGCCGAAGGAUUCUUUUUCCCCGGGCAGGGCAGAGACCGCAGCCUCUGCUAAUGAGUCCCUGGGAUUUGUUCCUGCUGUGAAAGCACUGAGAGCAGCCGUGGACGCCUGCGAGCCCCCGGGGCAGCGGAGCCCGUGCGUUGGCCGGGGCUGACGGCUCGCCGUGGCAUUGCAGGAGCUUGCGUGGACUGUGCUAAGAUGGGCACUCAGCCAGCGCUGCUGCUGCUGCUCGGCGUAUGCAGGCAGCCAGCUCCGUGUGCUCGGAGGUGAAACAGAGCAGCCUCUUCUUUAGAGAGCCGCGCUCUGGCAACACGCUCCCUCCUUUCCCCAGGAGGAGCCCGAAUGUGGCAACCAAAUAAAUCCCAGGGCGAGUCGGUGCGAGGAGGGGAGCGAGCUCCCGCGCGCUCUCGGAUGGUGUUUUAUUUUUUUUCUCACCUGAUCUGCACCUUGCCUGACCCAAUCGGCUGGAACCUGGGUGACUCUUCUGCUUUUCUGCUCCUUCCAGGAUCUAAAAGAGAAGAAGGAAGUUGUUGAAGAAACAGAAAAUGGCAGAGAUGCACCGGCCAACGGCAAUGCUAACGAGGAAAACGGGGAGCAGGAGGCCGACAACGAAGUAGACGAAGAGGAAGAGGAAGGUGGCGAGGAAGAGGACGAGGAGGAAGAGGGUGAUGGUGAGGAGGAGGACGGCGACGAAGACGACGAAGCUGAGGGAGCCACAGGCAAACGGGCAGCUGAGGACGACGAGGUAGGCAGAGCACCCCUUGUGUCCCGAGUGGGUUUUGGGGUGGAAUCAGUGGGGUCGGAGGCACCAGGCUGGGCUUUGGGACCCGGAUCCUGCCCGUGUGGUUCCCGCUGUGUGUGCCCCUGGGGGAUUCGGCCCAGUUCUUCAUGUACUGGCCUGGCUGUGAUCACCCUGGGUUUGGGAUCCCAGUGCUGUGGUGGGAUGGGACAGGGGUGCUCCGGCCCCAAAACCAGCUGCCAGAGGCUUCAUGCUGUGGGGAACACUUCUGCUGCAGGGACAAAGCAGAACAAGAGCAGAGGGACCCAAAAUCUCCUUUAUUUCUGCCCCUUUAUUCUGUUGUCCCCUCCCCUAACGGCUUUACCUUUCCCCUCAGGACGACGACGUCGAUCCCAAGAAGCAGAAAACCGACGAAGAUGACUAGGCAGCAAAUUAUUAUUAUUUUUUUUUUUAAAUAAGGAGGAAAACAAACCAACAAAAAAGGCCAGCGCGUCCUC